UACGUAGGGGGCGAACGUUGUCCGGAUUUACUGGGUGUAAAGGGUGCUCAGGCGGUCUUGUAAGUCAGAGGUGAAAUCUCAAGGCUUAACCUUGAAACUGCCUUUGAUACUGCUGGGCUUGAGUACGGAAGAGGCGGAUGGAAUUCCUGGUGUAGCAGUGAAAUGCGUAGAUAUCAGGAGGAACACCGGUGGCGAAGGCGGUCCGCUGGUCCGUUACUGACGCUAAAGCACGAAAGCGUGGGGAGAAAACAGG
rnacentral:rRNA from 1 species